rnacentral:rRNA from 1 species
UGGCUCAGGAUGAACGCUAGCUACAGGCUUAACACAUGCAAGUCAGGGGCAUCAGGAAUCUAGCUUGCUAGAUUUGCUGGCGACCGGCGCACGGGUGAGUAACGCGUAUCCAACCUGGCCCUUAGUAGGGGAUAGCCCGGCGAAAGUCGGAUUAAUACCCCUAUGUUCUUCGUAGAUGACAUCUGAAACGAAGCAAAGGCUUGCCGCUAAGGGAUGGGGAUGCGUCCGAUUAGGUUGUUGGCGGGGUAACGGCCCACCAAGCCCUCGAUCGUAGGGGUUCUGAGAGGAAGGUCCCCACACUGGUACUGAGACACGGACCAGACUCCUACGGGAGGCAGCAGUGAGGAAUAUUGGUCAAUGGGCGGGAGCCUGAACCAGCCAAGUAGCGUGCAGGAAGACUGCCCUAUGGGUUGUAAACUGCUUUUAUGCGGGGAUAAAGUGGGGACGCGUCCCUUUUGCAGGUACCGCAUGAAUAAGGACCGGCUAAUUCCGUGCC